UGUGUUGCAAAUUUAUGGUUUUGAAUUGAAUGGCUUAUGACAAUAAAUGAGCAUGAAUGGCUAAACUGAUUUUGGUGUUAUAAUUAUUUAUACUGUGUAUUCAGCCUUGAGAGGCUAGGUUGCGAUAAAUUGCCAUGUCAUGCUAGAAUGAAUUUUAUUGAUUGGUGGAUUAUAUAUUAAUUAUUUACUGCAGAGGGGGUUCCGUGGACCAGCCUAUUAGAGGGGCACGGUAAACUCCAUUAUAUUAUUACCUCGAACGGAGAGGCGCGUAGGGUAUCUCCUGGGGUAAAGCUUAGGGUUCACUUCAUGCCAAACCACCACGUGAAGGGGAACUCAGCCAACGCCAAGGAACGGGUGUAUUUUUCUCAAACUAAAAAUAUAUUUUAAGUGUAUACAAAA
rnacentral:lncRNA from 1 species